ACGCGACCCCAGGUCAAGCGGGGCUACCCGCUGAGUUUAAGCA
rnacentral:rRNA from 3 species